GAGCUCGAGUUCUGAAAACUGGCGUCUACGUCGGCGAAGAUCAUCGCGGACGAACCUAUAACAUCUUGGAGUCUUAGAGAUUUUACAUUUUGGAAACAUCAAGCGAUCGGGAAUGGAAUCAGGCGAUUCCAUCACGAUUUCAAUGAGACUCUUUCAAGGCUGCUGGAGGAUGGAGAGAAGCAGGGAAGUGCACAAGUCUGCAGUAUCCCGAGUUCGGUGAAUCGAAUAACAGUGGGCAUCAGCGUUGUGCUCGGACACGUCUGCGGUAUAUCGGUUUUGAGAAGCUGCCGCUGUGCAACGGAUUUGCAGCAUGUCGUUGCAGGUAUAAGAUACUGAGGCAGUUCAGCGCAGCCCACGUCAGAUAAGGCAUCAUCAGGCUGUAACAUGCCUUCUGACAGAAGCGGCGAACCUCUUCGUCUGGACGGGACGGGACAACGGGGGACGGAACUUGGGAGCUAGCACGCGAAGCAUGGACGCCGCAAACUGCGACACAUAGGGCAGAGUUUAUUCAGGUUCGACUAGUUAGCUGGCAGGUGCGACCCUGCAGGAGAUGGAGAGAUGGAGAGGCCUGGUAGGGGUCUCCAAGAAGCAGACAGUCGUCUUCCAGGACGGCCUGCGCCUAGUCGCGGUCGCGCAAGAAACCGAGAGCACCGUCCACCGCAAUGCUAUGUGGUUCCCUUGCUUGGCGACUUUGCGACGCGGCUGCAGACUUGAGUCGACUUGCAGGGGACCCUCGGCUGACACUCGGUUCCAGGCCUCUGCAGCUCUUUAUCCCCGACUUUGUCGCGGGAUAUGCGCGUUAUCCGUGGUACGUGCCGAGCCUUGCCUUCCGCUAUCGGCUAUCCGCAGGUAGGAGGACUUGCGGAAAGAUCCUCGUCCGCUGCAUUCAAUCUUUGAUCAAUCUGUCCUCGUAGACACUGAACUGCUCCGCGUUACAGUUAUACCCAUAUUUCUUCGAUUUAUUAGAUUCCCGGCAUGCAGAUAUCGAUCC